rnacentral:rRNA from 1 species
GAGUUUGAUCCUGGCUCAGGAUGAACGCUGGCGGCGUGCCUAAUACAUGCAAGUCGAGCGAACAGAUAAGGAGCUUGCUCCUUUGACGUUAGCGGCGGACGGGUGAGUAACACGUGGGUAACCUACCUAUAAGACUGGAAUAACUCCGGGAAACCGGGGCUAAUGCCGGAUAAUAUUUAGAACCGCAUGGUUCUAAAGUGAAAGAUGGUUUUACUAUCACUUAUAGAUGGACCCGCGCCGUAUUAGCUAGUUGGUAAGGUAACGGCUUACCAAGGCGACGAUACGUAGCCGACCUGAGAGGGUGAUCGGCCACACUGGAACUGAGACACGGUCCAGACUCCUACGGGAGGCAGCAGUAGGGAAUCUUCCGCAAUGGGCGAAAGCCUGACGGAGCAACGCCGCGUGAGUGAUGAAGGGUUUCGGCUCGUAAAACUCUGUUAUUAGGGAAGAACAAAUGUGUAAGUAACUGUGCACAUCUUGACGGUACCUAAUCAGAAAGCCACGGCUAACUACGUGCCAGCAGCCGCGGUAAUACGUAGGUGGCAAGCGUUA